rnacentral:SRP_RNA from 1 species
GCCAGGUGUGGUGUUGUGCACCUGUGGUCCCAGCUACUCUGGAGGCUGAGGUGGGAGGAUUGUUUGAGCCCAGGAGGUCGAGGCUGCAGUGAUCACUGCACUCUAGCCUGGGUCAUAAAAUGAGACCCUGUUUUUU